rnacentral:tRNA from 1 species
GUUUAGAUAGUUUAAAAAAAAUAAAGGUUUGUGGUACCUUAGAUGUAAUCUUUUACUCUGGACU